UAGGGAAUAUUGGACAAUGGGGGAAACCCUGAUCCAGCAACGCCGCGUGGAUGAUGAAGCUUUUUGGAGUGUAAAAUCCUGUCAGUGGGGACGAAACGUCCGGGUAGGAAAUGACCCGGGCCUGACUGUACCCGCAGAGGAAGUUCCGGCCAACUCCGUGCCAGCAGCCGCGGUAAUACGGGGGGAACGAGCGUUGUUCGGAUUUACUGGGCGUAAAGGGCACGCAGGCGGGGAGACAAGUCAGAUGUGAAAACCCAAAGCUUAACUCUGGGCCUGCAUUUGAUACUGUUUCUCUUGAGUACGGGAGAGGAUAGCGGAAUUCUUGGUGUAGCGGUGAAAUGCGUAGAUAUCAAGAAGAACACCGGUGGCGAAGGCGGCUAUCUGGCCCGAUACUGACGCUCAUGUGCGAAGGCAAGGGGAGCAAACAGG
rnacentral:rRNA from 1 species